rnacentral:rRNA from 1 species
CUUGAUAGUUAUAGUAAAAAUUGUACCACCCGAACCCAUUCCGAACUCGAAAUGUGAAAGAAUUUUACGCCAUAUGUACUGCUGAAUAGUGGGAAAAAUGGUUGCUGUCAAGC